GAUGAACGCUGGCGGCGUGCUUAACACAUGCAAGUCGAACGGUGAACGAGGGAGCUUGCUCCCUCCGGAUCAGUGGCGAACGGGUGAGUAACACGUGAGCAAUCUGCCCUGGACUCUGGGAUAAGCGUUGGAAACGACGUCUAAUACCGGAUACGAGACGUGAAGGCAUCUUCAACGUCUGGAAAGAACUUCGGUCCAGGAUGAGCUCGCGGCCUAUCAGGUAGUUGGGGAGGUAACGGCUCACCAAGCCUACGACGGGUAGCCGGCCUGAGAGGGUGACCGGCCACACUGGGACUGAGACACGGCCCAGACUCCUACGGGAGGCAGCAGUGGGGAAUAUUGCACAAUGGGCGCAAGCCUGAUGCAGCAACGCCGCGUGAGGGACGACGGCCUUCGGGUUGUAAACCUCUUUUAGCAGGGAAGAAGCGAAAGUGACGGUACCUGCAGAAAAAGCACCGGCUAACUACGUGCCAGCAGCCGCGGUAAAAC
rnacentral:rRNA from 1 species